rnacentral:rRNA from 1 species
UACGUAGGGUGCGAGCGUUAAUCGGAAUUACUGGGCGUAAAGCGUGCGCAGGCGGUUUUGUAAGCCAGACGUGAAAUCCCCGGGCUCAACCUGGGAAUGGCAUUUGGGACUGCAAGGCUUGAGUGCGGCAGAGGAGACUGGAAUUCCUGGUGUAGCAGUGAAAUGCGUAGAUAUCAGGAGGAAUACCGAUGGCGAAGGCAGGUCUCUGGGCUGACACUGACGCUCAUGCACGAAAGCGUGGGGAGCAAACAGG